rnacentral:lncRNA from 1 species
GUAGAGCUUUCUCUCACUAGGGCAUUUCUUGAACGGGGGAACAUCAUAUGAGUCUUCCAAAGUGGGGGUGGGGGUGGAACAGGGGUGGGGCUGGUUGGACACUUUGCAAGUAAUAGAUCCACUCCAACACUCCCACCUCCCCAAGCUUUUGGACUACUUGCUCUUCCAAGGGCAGUUGUGGCAUUUCAACCUCAUUUACUGGAUCAGUGAACCAGCUGAGGGAACUGUUCUGCAAAGGUUCUCAAGCUUGGUGCUUAUUAGAACCAUCUGGGGCCAUUAAAAAAUUCCUGAUGCCCAGGCUACACCUCAGAAAAAUUAAAAUCAGAAUCUCUGAAGGUAGAUCCCAGCAUCAUUGGUAUUUUUUAAAGGUUAUUCCAAUGUGCUGCCAAGGCUAAGACCACUGUGUUAGGCUUAGGAGAGUGUACCCAUAUCAAUACAUUCAAUCCCAUCCAAUCUUCUAUUUUGUGUUCCUUGAUCCAAUCUAUUUCUACCUGUGUUUCCCAGGAUCCUGCUUGUUAUGGACUGAAUUGUGUCAACUCAAAAUUCAUACAUUGAGGGAAGAGAAAAAUGCAGAAACACACAGAAGAAAGACCUUGUGAAGACACAGGGAGAAGAUGGCCAUCUACAAGCCAAGAAGAAAGGCAUCAGAAUGUAACCAACUCUCUGGACACCUUGAUCUUGGACUACUAGCCUCCAGAACUGUGAGAAAAUGUACUUCUGUGGUUUAAGCCACCCAGUCUGUGGUAUUUGUCAUGGCAGCCUUAGCAAACUAAUAUGCUGUUUAUAAAAAUGUGCAAGAUCUUGCAGCUCCCUUACUGUGUCAGCUGAGUCUCCUGCAGAAGCAAACUUUGCAAUUCCUCUAAACCACACUGGCAUUUAACUCUCCUUAUGAUCUUGUAGGCAGUGCGUGUGUGUGUGCAUGUAGGGGUGUUUGGGGGACGUGAGGAGGGCUCAACGAGAACUGGUAUCACCUCAGGCAGCAUCUGGCCCAGGUGAACCCCCUGAAAGAUCUAAAAUGAGGAAGGCUUGCUUUUCUUGGCUGGAGGAGGAGCGACUUGGCAGUAGGCCUAGAACUAUGGUUCUCAGAUUGUAGUUUUGGGACCCGGAGCUAAGGCUUCAGCCAGGAAGUGUUAGAAAUGCACGCUGUUGGACCACACCCCCUGACCUACUGAAUCCGAGACUCUUA